UCCCUGGAGGACUAGUGGUUAGGAGAGAGCGCUCUCACUGAAGUGGCCUGGGUUCACUUCCCAGCCAGGGAA